UUUGACGUGAUUGAUUUAUUGAAAUCUGGCUCAAAUUUGUCGCGCAUAUGGCUAUUAGCUAACAAGAUUUGCUUGGAUAUUUCUGUUGGAAUUCAAAAAGGCUUUUGAACCACUGUGGCAGUCGUCUCACUGGUGAGACGAGAGGGGUAAGCUGAUCAACGAAGAAUCCAGCUUUGGGCAUAGUAAUAUCAGACGAUUUAAAACCAUCAAAGCACAUAGAAAAUGUUGCCAAGAAAGCUAACAGUGUCCUUGGUCAAAUUAAAAGGUCUUUCUCUGUGAGAUCAAGGCAGCUUGUCAUCGAUCUUUACAAAAAAAUUGUGAGGCCACACUUGGAAUUUGCCGUGCAAGUAUGGAAUCCAUGGCUGGCCAAAAAUAUCGAAGCCCUAGAGAAGAUCCAGAGGCGAGCAAUCAAAACCAUCGGAGGCUUGUCGGGCUCUUAUGAGGCUCGACUGGGAGAGCUCGGACUGACAACUCUACAAGUGCGAAGAAAACGAGGAGACGCGAUUCAAGUUUUCAAGAUCAUGAAGAAUAUGGACCAUUUGAAGCCUGGCGACUACUACAAAUUUGUAGAGCACAACCCAACAACAAGAGAGCAAACCAUGAAAAACUUGUUCGUCCCCAAAGUGAGGUUGGAUCGACGGAAAUAUUUCUUUAGGUAUAGAUCCAUACCAUUAUGGAGCUUACCAUCCGAAGCUAGGGAAUGCGGAAGUUUGAACCAAUUUAAAUGCUUUUUGGACGAAAAUAACUAGAUAUGAUCAACCAAACCUAACAAAACCCACCCAAAUAUCUUCCCAAUGACCACUCCUUUGGUCCCUGAGGGUCCUUACCGCAACUGGGAUUGAAACCCCAGCAGUUCAAGACGGAAAAUUUAUUCAUUUUAUUGAACUUUUAUUUAUAUAUGUAUCAUUUGAUCGACUAACAAAUUAGAGUUGGCGGAUCUGGCUAGCCAACAGAUCAGGAAUCAGAUCAGGAAUUUUAGUCCAAAACUUGUCCAAGUCUGGCUUAAAUCCUGUUACUGGAUCAACGCCUACAUAAGCCCUACGAAUAUUUUGGGGCAGCAAAUGAAGCCCGAGAAAGAAGAGAGUUGAACAUAAUUGUUUUAACUAGCCUGGAUUCUCGAGGGCUUGAAAGUGCUCUCAAAACGCACAUUAAGCCUCUACAGUCACUACAAUUGACCCUAAAUCCUGGGUUGGCACAAAGCUCAUGAAUUCAUUUGAAAACGUACAAUAUCAGGUACCUUUCGUACCUUCUCUGAGUACUGUACAAUCCCAACCGUUCUAACCUCUCCCAAUACGAGAGCUCUCUCAUAUCUUCAAUGUUCCUAGUAAAACAUCUUUGGACCUGCUCGAGCUUUUGCAAACCUGCUGAACUAAUUGGAGCCCAAAUGGGAGAGGCAUAUUCAAGAUGCGGCUGAACAAUCGACUUGUACAGAGUUAGUAUAAUGAAACUAUCUCUGGACUUAAACGUGCGAUAUAUCCAACCACAUGUUUGAAAAGCCUUACCAACUUUCAACUGGAUAUGCUCAUCAAACUUUCCAUGAUCUAGGAGGACUACACCAGAUCCUUCACGGACGAGACCUACUGAAUACCUUUACCUUCAUCAUCUACUACCGGGUCUUGAAUUGUGAAGGAGCUUAACGUGAGCAAGGUCAUUGUCUGCCGGGUCAGAAAGCAUUUGACCAACAUCGAGGACCUCUCUGACAAGCCUUGGUCAGGCAGGCUGGUGCAACUCCGCCCACAGUUGGUCAAAGUGGCGUUUUUGGCCAACCAGUCCAUGAAGAUGUCUGCAUUGGCCAAGAAGAAGUAUGUGGACCCCUCAACAGUGUCCAAAGUCGUGAAAAAGGCUGGCGGGUAAUCUCUGCGAUUGACCAAGAGACCUCUUUUGACUGAACGUCAUCAAGAACUCCGGCUUGAGCAGUGUCAGAAUAUUUGGAAUGACCUCAAGCACAACGGCGACCGCAACAUUUUCUUCUCCAACAAAAAGACAUUCACCAUCAAUCAGGUCUACAACAAGCAGAACGACUGGGUCAUCUGCUUUGGGAACAGGAAUAACACUGUCCGUAGUAUCUCCAAGACCAGGCAUCCGGCCUCGGUGAUGAUGCUUGGUAUCAUGGCGUCCACGGGGGACAAAAUGCCGCCAGUAAGGUUCCAGAUGGGGUACAGGCUCAACAGCGUCAACUACUUGACGUUCUUGAAGACCAACGAAGCCCCAUAGGUCUCCAAGCUCUUGUAGAAGUCGGGAAAGUUGUUGUAUGUCUUCCAGCAAGAUGGAGCCCCCGCCCACACAUGCAAGGACAUAUGUAGGAAUGGAUGGAGGCAAACAUGUCAUUCUGGCCAAAGAAAAUGUGGUCCCCCCUGAGCCCAGACCUGAACCCUCUGGACUUCAUUAUCUGGUGGCAUAUUGAGUGCCAAGCCUACUGCACUCGCCACAAGUCCGUGGUAGACCUGAAGGUCUCCGUCAAGAAGGAGUGGAGGGCCAUGCAGAAGGUGUUUGUUCGGCAGGUGUUCCUGUCCUUCAGGUGCCGCGUGGAGGGCGUGAUUGAAGCCAGCAGAGGCGAAAUUCUCAAUAACUUCCCCAUGAUUCUUGACUUAAAAUUGGUCUCAAGACUUUUUCAUGACCCGAUGGUGGAGAGUCUAAUGGCGCCAACACCAAGGUCAUUGAGCGGAAUUUCAUUCAAUUCAAUGCCAUGUUACUCGCAGCAACCCAAGAGUAGAUUUGGUCUAGGACCUCUAUCAGACAAGGGGAAUUCUAACCAUUCCUACCAACUACCAAUUUUGUAUCAUCAGCAUAAGAAGAGAUACUGACAUUACUACUACCAAGCUUCUGAAGCGGAGCAAUGAAGAUGAUGAAAAGGAGAGGACCCAAAAUGGAGCCAUGAGGGACACCCAACUUGACAUCAUGUAUGUCACUAAGGGAUCCCUCAACCUUAACUAAUAGUUUCCUACAUAAAUGAAACUUCUUAGCCACUUGAGAACCUUGCCUUGGAUCCCAAUCUCAUGGAGCCUGUUAACAAAUAGGCCAUGAUCUACCUUGUCAAAGACCUUGGCAAAGUUGAGAUAAACUGCAUUGACUGAUUCAUGGCUCUCCAGUCCCUCAGUAACCUGCUCUAUAUGAUCAAUCAGUUGGGUAACCAUGCUAAAAUGUGCUCGGAACCCAUGCUGUCUAGGAGGAAGGACUUCAUGGAUAUCAAGAAAUUUAGCAAGUUUGAACUUCAUGAUCUUCUCAAUGAUAUUUGUCACAUGUUUUGUUCAUCAAUUAUGGCAAUAAUUGACAUGCUAAAAUUUCAGCAGCAACAGUUUAGGCCUUGCUUGGUGGGAAAGGUUUGGUGAUCACACAAAAGUGGCGUUUCCUUGCUUUAGUGUCCUUGGGCUAUCGUGCAAGAAGAUCAAGACCGUCGCCAGACACAUCCGCAAAUCCGUUCCUGUCCAACCUCACUUUGACGAAGUUUAAAGACUUGUUUGAGGUUUCUGAAGUUGUCAUUCCGGGCCAAGAAGAGAGCAUUAUUGCAGUUGCAACGAUGUGUGUAAAUUCCUUUCAAUCAUUCUGGAAGAACGUGGAGUUGACAAAGAAGAUGUUGUCUUUCGUCUGUCCAUUGAUGAGGGAAAGGGCUUCCUUAAAAUCACGUCAUCAUUGGUUAUGAAGCGAGAAUUAAAAGGACCCUUCAAAUCCGGAGGAGAGAAGUGUAUUCAGAUCCUAGCCUUGAGUCCUUGCCAGGAUUCGUACGACACAAUCAUAAGUGUUGGUUGAUCGAUCGACUGGAUUUGAUGUCGGUUUUUGACGCCUUUCCGCAAGUGAUUGUUUCUCAAGAUCUCUAAUGCGUUAAUCUUUGCCUUGGAAUACGCGCCCACGCUAGUGCUUUUCCAUGUGCCUUUUGCCAUUGGGAGAACGGCAAGUGAGAAGAUAAAAAAAGAAGAACGCACAAUGUGCUCCCUUAGAAUGAAUUAUUAUAAAUUUCAGCAAAUCAAGUCCCAAAAAUGUGCUUCAGUGUCAGGAGACAAGCUUUGGUGUUUCAGCGUAACCCAGGCACUGACAAAGUUCUCAACCUAGUUCCUAUUCCAAUGCUCCACAUUUUAUUAGGAAUUGUAAAUAAGACAUUUGUUGCCCAGUCAAGGCUUUCCCUGUUGGAAAUGAAUGGCCACGCACUCUGUCAAUCCACCAAGAACACUAUCACGGGCAUUCGUUUGAAGGGAAUGAGUCAAAAAAGCUCCUAGGCCAUGCAAAUGUCCUCGAAGACAUUUUGGUGAGAAAUGGGGUCUUGGAGAUGUCAAUGGCGUACGUCAAUGUGUUCAAGUAUUUCAAAACCAUCAUUGACACGCUCUACUCUCCUCCAAUUGAUCUUGAGCAACUAAAAAAAUCUAUUCAUCAAUUCAGACAAGCAUGGAAGAACACGAAUAUGAAUCUUAUUUGCAAAGCUCACAUUGUAAUCGACCAUUUGUUGGAUUGUGUUCGCGAACGAGCUGAUACUAGCAUGGCUGUGUUCAGUGAAUAAUCGCAUGAAGCAGCGCAUUGCGAGUUCGACAAAAGUUGGGCAAAAUAGGCGAUUAAAGAAAAGUCACAUCCGAACUUUGGCAAGAAAUUGCUACAAUGCACAUUGGAUUUUAGUGCCCAACACUCGAAAUGAUCCAAACACUCGCAAUACCAAACUCGACCAAUAAGACAGUACGGGUCAACGUUCAUCGUCUUUAGGUCCCCUAUGCUCUUCUUUUUUUUAUCCUUCAUUACAUUAUGCUAUUUGAAAAAUAUAAGAAUUAUCUUCAUU